GGGGGAAGAGGUAGAGCGCGAGAGGGGAAGAGGUAGAGCGCGGGGGGGGAAGAGGUAGAGCGCGAGAGGGGAAGAGGUAGAGCGCGAGAGGGGAAGAGGUAGAGCGCGAGAGGGGAAGAGGUAGAGCGCAAGAGCGGUAGGGCGCGAGAGCCGUAGGGCGCACGAGAGAGCGAGAGGUAGAGUGAGAGAGGUAGGGCGCGAGAGCGGUAGAGCGCGAGAGAGGUAGAGCGGUAGGGCGCGAGAGCCGUAGGGCGCACGAGAGAGCGAGAGGUAGAGUGAGAGAGGUAGGGCGCGAGAGCGGUAGAGCGCGAGAGAGGUAGAGCGGUAGGGCGCGAGAGCCGUAGGGCGCACGAGAGAGCGAGAGGUAGAGUGAGAGAGGUAGGGCGCGAGAGAGGUAGGGUGCGAGAG